rnacentral:rRNA from 1 species
AUACGUAGGGGGCGAGCGUUAUCCGGAAUUAUUGGGCGUAAAGGGUGCGUAGGCGGCCUUGUAAGUCAGGUGUGAAAGGUUACGGCUCAACCGUAAUUAGCACUUGAAACUGUGAGGCUUGAGUGCAGGAGAGGAGAGUGGAAUUCCUAGUGUAGCGGUGAAAUGCGUAGAUAUUAGGAGGAACACCAGUGGCGAAGGCGACUCUCUGGACUGUAACUGACGCUGAGGCACGAAAGCGUGGGGAGCGAACAGGAUUAGAUACCCUGGUAGUCCACGCUGUAAACGAUGAGUACUAGGUGCUGGGGGAGACAUCCUUCAGUGCCGCAGUUAACACAUUAAGUACUCCGCCUGGGGAGUACGGUCGCAAGACUGAA